GAAAUGCGAUAAGUAAUGUGAAUUGCAGAAUUCAGUGAGUCAUCGAAUCUUUGAACGCACCUUGCGCUCCUUGGUAUUCCUUGGAGCAUGCCUGUUUGAGUAUCAUGAAAUCUUCAAAGUAAAUCUUUUGUUAACUCAAUUGGUUUCUACUUUGGUAUUGGAGGUCUUUGCAGCUUCACACCUGCUCCUCUUUGUUCAUUAGCUGGAUCUCAGUGUUAUGCUUGGUUCCACUCGGCGUGAUAAGUUAUCUAUCGCUGAGGACACUGUAAAAGGUGGCCAAGGUAAAUGCAGAUGAACCGCUUCUAAUAGUCCAUUGACUUGGACAAUACUUUUAUGAUCUGAUCUCCAAUCAGGUAGGACUACCCGCUGAACUUAAGC
rnacentral:misc_RNA from 1 species